AGUGAACGCUGGCGGUAGGCCUAACACAUGCAAGUCGAACGGCAGCACAGUAAGAGCUUGCUCUUACGGGUGGCGAGUGGCGGACGGGUGAGGAAUACAUCGGAAUCUACUUUUUCGUGGGGGAUAACGUAGGGAAACUUACGCUAAUACCGCAUACGACCUACGGUUGAAAGCAGGGGAUCUUCUGACCUUGCGCGAUUGAAUGAGCCGAUGUCGGAUUAGCUAGUUGGCGGGGUAAAGGCCCACCAAGGCGACGAUCCGUAGCUGGUCUGAGAGGAUGAUCAGCCACACUGGAACUGAGACACGGUCCAGACUCCUACGGGAGGCAGCAGUGGGGAAUAUUGGACAAUGGGCGCAAGCCUGAUCCAGCCAUACCGCGUGGGUGAAGAAGGCCUUCGGGUUGUAAAGCCCUUUUGUUGGGAAAGAAAGGCAGCAGGUUAAUACCCAGCUGUUCUGACGGUACCCAAAGAAUAAGCACCGGCUAACUUCGUG
rnacentral:rRNA from 1 species